GACGAACGCUGGCGGCGUGCCUAAUACAUGCAAGUUGAGCGAUGAAGAUUGGUGCUUGCACCAAUUUGAAGAGCAGCGAACGGGUGAGUAACGCGUGGGGAAUCUGCCUUUGAGCGGGGGACAACAUUUGGAAACGAAUGCUAAUACCGCAUGACAACUUUAAACAUAAGUUUUAAGUUUGAAAGAUGCAAUUGCAUCACUCAAAGAUGAUCCCGCGUUGUAUUAGCUAGUUGGUGAGGUAAAGGCUCACCAAGGCGAUGAUACAUAGCCGACCUGAGAGGGUGAUCGGCCACAUUGGGACGGAGACACGGCCCAAACUCCUACGGGAGGCAGCAGUAGGGAAUCUUCGGCAAUGGACGAAAGUCUGACCGAGCAACGCCGAGUGAGGGAAGAAGGGUUUCGGAUCGUAAAACUCUGUUGGUAGAGAAGAACGUUGGUGAGAGUGGAAAGCUCAUCAAGUGACGGUAACUACCCAGAAAGGGACGGCUAACUACGUG
rnacentral:rRNA from 1 species